GGCGGUGUUUUAGUCUAGUUAGAGGAACCUGUGUUAUAAACGAUACAACACGCAUUAUUUUACUUGUUUUGGUGGAUAGUUUGUAUACCGUCAUUGUUAGAUAAUUUUAGAGAGAAAACAUCAUUGGAAUUAUAUUAUUGAAUAUAUUAGAUCAAGGUGCAGCUUAUAGAUAAGUAAAUAUGGGUUACAAUAAAAUUUAUUUAAUACGGAUUAAGUAUUGAAAUAUAUUUAUGAAGGAGGAUUUAAUUGUAAAAAAGGGAUUAGUAAGAUUUUUUGAUAAGAGCUCUAAAUUAU
rnacentral:rRNA from 1 species